rnacentral:rRNA from 1 species
GAUAAACGCUGGCGGCGUGCCUUAAACAUGCAAGUCGUACGGACUAUCCUUUCGGGGGUAGUUAGUGGCAGACGGCUGAGUAACACGUGAGUGACCUGUCCUUUGCAAGUGGGGGAUAAUUCCGCGAAAGCGGGACUAAUACCGCAUGUGCUGGGCUAGAUAGAGCUAGCUCAGUAAAGCUGCAAAGCGCUUGAGGAGGGGCUCGCGUCCGAUUAGCUAGUUGGUGGGGUAAAGGCUCACCAAGGCGAUGAUCGGUAGCUGGUCUGAGAGGAUGAUCAGCCAGACUGGGACUGAGACACGGCCCAGACUCCUACGGGAGGCAGCAGUUAGGAAUUUUGCACAAUGGGCGCAAGCCUGAUGCAGCAACGCCGCGUGGGCGAUGAAGGUCUUCGGAUCGUAAAGCCCUUUUCUGGGGGAAGAGCAAGGACGGUACCCCAGGAAUAAGCCUCGGCUAACUACGUGCCAGCAGCCGCGGUAAUACGUAGGAGGCGAGCGUUGUCCGGAUUUAUUGGGCGUAAAGAGCGCGUAGGCGGCACGGCAAGUUGGGUGUGAAAUCCCCUGGCUCAACUGGGGGGGGUCAUCCGAUACUGCCGAGCUUGAGGCAGGCAGAGGAAGGUAGAAUUCCCGGUGUAGUGGUGAAAUGCGUAGAUAUCGGGAGGAAUACCAGUGGCGAAGGCGGCCUUCUGGGCCUGUCCUGACGCUGAGGCGCGAAAGCGUGGGGAGCGAACCGGAUUAGAUACCCGGGUAGUCCACGCAGUAAACGAUGGACACUAGGUGUGGGGGGUAUCGACCCCUCCCGUGCCGAAGCUAACGCAUUAAGUGUCCCGCCUGGGGAGUACGGCCGCAAGGCUAA